GUUAUUAUUACGUUUAUGGAUAAGUAACAACGUAUUUUUAAGGGAGAAUUUAGUUUGCAGAAGUAAACGACACUCUGUGGACUUGUCCUUGGAUAAGGUGGAAUAUGGAUGUUAAAAAAAGGUAUUUACUCUUCUUGCAGAUAACACAACAACCAGUUUCACUCACAUUUAUGGGAUUACUUGAUGUCAAUUAUCAACUACCUUUAAAGAUGUUUAGAAUAAUUUGGGCUUUUGCUUCGUGUUAUCUUAAUAGUCG